AUUGAACGCUGGCGGCAGGCCUAACACAUGCAAGUCGAGCGGAUGAAGGGAGCUUGCUCCUGGAUUUAGCGGCGGACGGGUGAGUAAUGCCUAGGAAUCUGCCUGGUAGUGGGGGAUAACGUCCGGAAACGGGCGCUAAUACCGCAUACGUCCUGAGGGAGAAAGUGGGGGAUCUUCGGACCUCACGCUAUCAGAUGAGCCUAGGUCGGAUUAGCUAGUUGGUGGGGUAAAGGCCUACCAAGGCGACGAUCCGUAACUGGUCUGAGAGGAUGAUCAGUCACACUGGAACUGGGACACGGUCCAGACUCCUACGGGAGGCAGCAGUGGGGAAUAUUGGACAAUGGGCGAAAGCCUGAUCCAGCCAUGCCGCGUGUGUGAAGAAGGUCUUCGGAUUGUAAAGCACUUUAAGUUGGGAGGAAGGGCAGUAAGUUAAUACCUUGCUGUUUUGACGUUACCAACAGAAUAAGCACCGGCUAACUUCGUG
rnacentral:rRNA from 1 species